GGCUCUGUGGCACAAUGGAUAGUGCAUUGUACUUCUAGGCUGUGAGCUGAGCCAUUCAAAGGUUGUGGGUUUGAGUCCCACCAGAGUCG
rfam:Danio rerio chromosome 4, GRCz11 reference primary assembly.